AUACCGGGCCUUUUUGGGCUUGGUAAUUGGAAUGAGGGAGAGUUAAACGGACCAUCGAGUAUCCAUUGGAGGGCAAGUCUGGUGCCAGCAGCUGCGGUAAUACCAGCUCCAAUAGCGUAUAUUAAAGUUGUUGCAGUUAAAAAGCUCGUAGUUGGACUUGUGUGCGCUGUCCGCGGGUGGCCUGCGCCCAAAAGGGCGUUUCGGUUCGGCCCCGGUGGCGCCUUGAAAUCUGCAGCUGGGGGGACAUUGGCCUUAACUGGUCGGCGACCGCACGCCGGCUGCUCGGUUACUGUGAGAAAAUUAGAGUGUUCAAGGCAGGCAUUGGGUGCAAUUGAAUACAUUAGCAUGGAAUAAUAAAAUAUGGCUCCUGCCGUAUUUUGUUGGUUUUGACUGGUGGGAGUAAUGAUUGAUAGGGACGGUUGGGGGUGCUAGUAUUGAGCGGCCAGAGGUGAAAUUCAUGGAUUCGCUCAAGGCUAACUUAUGCGAAAGCAUUCACCAAGGACGUCCUCUUUAAUCAAGAACGAAAGUUGGGGGAUCGAAGACGAUCAGAUACCGUCGUAGUCUCAACCAUAAACUAUGUCGACUUGGGAUCGGCGGUAGUUUUUUCAUUAAGACACUGUCGGGACCACGGGAGAAAUCAAAGUGUCUGGACUCUGGGGGAAGUAUGGUCGCAAGGCUGAAACUUGAAGGAAUUGACGGAAGGGCACCACCAGGAGUGGAGCCUGCGGCUUAAUUUGACCCAACACGGGGAAACUUACCAGGUCCAGAGAUGUAGAGGAUUGACAGAUUGAAGCUCUUUCUUGAUCACUUCGGUGGUGGUGCAUGGCCGUUCUUAGUUGGUGGAGUGAUUUGUCUGGUUAAUUCCGUUAACGAACGAGACCUCAGCCUGCUAGUGUAGUCAGCUGGAUUGCCUUUGGCGAUCCGUGAUUUCGACUUCUUAGAGGGACAAUCGACGCGCAGUCGAUGGAAGUUUGAGGCAAUAACAGGUCUGUGAUGCCCUUAGAUGUUCUGGGCCGCACGCGCGCUACACUGCUGGGCUCAGCGAGUUUUACUUGGCCGAGAGGCCCGGUUAAUCUUGUGAAAUCCCAGCGUGCUUGGGCUCGCCUCCUGCAACUGGAGGCGCCAACGAGGAAUUCCUAGUAGACGCAGGUCAUCAACCUGCAUCGAUUACGUCCCUGCCCUUUGUACACACCGCCCGUCGUUCCAUAAGAGUGAGGCAUCCGGUGAAUUCUCGGGAGAGCCUGGGCGUGGCCAGCAAUGGUCUGCUCGGGUUUGAACUUGCAUAAACUUGGUGCCUAUGAUUGGGG
rnacentral:rRNA from 1 species